GAAAGUUUACAAAAGGAGAAUGCGGAACUGAAACAAGAAAAUGAUCAACUUGUAGAACUGAAACAAGUUCAUGAUCAAUUUUUAAAGAAAUUUAGUCCUGG